GAUGAAGAACGUAGCGAAAUGCGAUAAGUAGUGUGAAUUGCAGAAUUCAGUGAAUCAUCGAAUCUUUGAACGCACAUUGCGCCCUUUGGUAUUCCGGGGGGCAUGCCUGUCCGAGCGUCAUUGCUGCCCUCAAGCACGGCUUGUGUGUUGGGCUCCGUCCCCCCGGGGACGGGCCCGAAAGGCAGCGGCGGCACCGAGUCCGGUCCUCGAGCGUAUGGGGCUUUGUCACCCGCUCUGUAGGCCCGGCCGGCGCCAGCCGACAACCCAUCAUCCUUUUCAGGUUGACCUCGGAUCAGGUAGGGAUACCCGCUGAACUUAAGCAUAUCAAUAAGCGGAGGA
rnacentral:misc_RNA from 1 species